GGGGGGACCAUCCUCCAAGGCUAAAUACUCCUGACUGACCGAUAGUGAACCAGUACCGUGAGGGAAAGGCGAAAAGAACCCCGGCGAGGGGAGUGAAAAAGAACCUGAAACCGUGUACGUACAAGCAGUGGGAGCACGCUUAGGCGUGUGACUGCGUACCUUUUGUAUAAUGGGUCAGCGACUUAUAUUCUGUAGCAAGGUUAACCGAAUAGGGGAGCCGAAGGGAAACCGAGUCUUAACUGGGCGUUAAGUUGCAGGGUAUAGACCCGAAACCCGGUGAUCUAGCCAUGGGCAGGUUGAAGGUUGGGUAACACUAACUGGAGGACCGAACCGACUAAUGUUGAAAAAUUAGCGGAUGACUUGUGGCUGGGGGUGAAAGGCCAAUCAAACCGGGAGAUAGCUGGUUCUCCCCGAAAGCUAUUUAGGUAGCGCCUCGUGAAUUCAUCUCCGGGGGUAGAGCACUGUUUCGGCAAGGGGGUCAUCCCGACUUACCAACCCGAUGCAAACUGCGAAUACCGGAGAAUGUUAUCACGGGAGACACACGGCGGGUGCUAACGUCCGUCGUGAAGAGGGAAACAACCCAGACCGCCAGCUAAGGUCCCAAAGUCAUGGUUAAGUGGGAAACGAUGUGGGAAGGCCCAGACAGCCAGGAUGUUGGCUUAGAAGCAGCCAUCAUUUAAAGAAAGCGUAAUAGCUCACUGGUCGAGUCGGCCUGCGCGGAAGAUGUAACGGGGCUAAACCAUGCACCGAAGCUGCGGCAGCGACACUAUGUGUUGUUGGGUAGGGGAGCGUUCUGUAAGCCUGUGAAGGUGUACUGUGAGGUAUGCUGGAGGUAUCAGAAGUGCGAAUGCUGACAUAAGUAACGAUAAAGCGGGUGAAAAGCCCGCUCGCCGGAAGACCAAGGGUUCCUGUCCAACGUUAAUCGGGGCAGGGUGAGUCGACCCCUAAGGCGAGGCCGAAAGGCGUAGUCGAUGGGAAACAGGUUAAUAUUCCUGUACUUGGUGUUACUGCGAAGGGGGGACGGAGAAGGCUAUGUUGGCCGGGCGACGGUUGUCCCGGUUUAAGCGUGUAGGCUGGUUUUCCAGGCAAAUCCGGAAAACUAAGGCUGAGGCGUGAUGACGAGGCACUACGGUGCUGAAGCAACAAAUGCCCUGCUUCCAGGAA
rnacentral:rRNA from 1 species